UCUCCGUUGGUGAACCAGCGGUGGGAUCAUUACUGGAAUCGCAAGAUCCCACAACCCUGUGAACCUACCGAAACGUUGCCUCGGCGGGUGCCCGGCCCCCGCGCCGGGCGCUGCGCCCGCCGGCGGCCCCCUACUCUGUCUCUGCAGCGUGGCAUCUCAGAGUCCCAGAAAACAAGUCAAAACUUUCAACAACGGAUCUCUUGGCUCUA
rnacentral:misc_RNA from 1 species